rnacentral:snoRNA from 1 species
GAGCGAUGAUAAAAGUUGCGUUUGGGUGGAAAUGGGUUCCCACCUCCGUCUGAUCUGAAGAUGACAAGAAACGCGUUUGAGCUC